rnacentral:lncRNA from 1 species
CCACCUGCCUCUGCCUCCCAAGUGCUGGGAUUAAAGUCAUGUGCCACCACGGGCAAGUUUUACUUUUUAUAACUUCAACUUUUAACCAUGGUGUGGUAAUUCAAUAAGGAUACAGGCUUGAGGUUUAGUGAUGAGGCUGUAUGUAGAGAGCAGGUUUACAGAAGAACUGAAAAUGCCCUUUUGUUUUUUCUUCAAGGCAACAACAGUGGUACUUAUGGAUUUAUGGUAUGGUAUUUAGCACCCUUCCCAACCCUAUCCCCCAAACGUGACCUAUCAGAUUCUUCACUAAUGUUUUGCAAAUAACACACUCAGCUUGAUAACUGGUCUUGACUAGUUAACACACCACAGAACUUUGAAGAGUAAUUUUUCCCCCAAGAUUCUUUGCAUCUAUCUUGUGAGUCAAAGCUGGGGCUCAAUCAGUUUCUGGUACACAGAGAGAAGGACUUGAAAAUUUGCAUAAUGGGCCUGUCUUGCCAAUGCCAGUGUUGGUUGGGAUUUUCAUUUACCUUCAGUAAGCACUGCACCCUUUUCCUUUAAAUAAGAUCCCACAGAGCCAGCUUGAGAGCACACUCAGAGAGAGGUUAAGAGCACUUUCUGCUCUUUGCAGAGGACUUGAGUUCAGUUCCCAGCAUUCCCAUUAGGCACCUGCAGGAUGAAGUGAAGUCAGUCACAAGUGAUAUGAGGCUUCCAAGGGGAAACUUGUGCAAAUUGUAUGUGGCCAGUGCUUCAUCCCUUAUUUCAUCUCUUCAGUCUCAAUGAUGCCCAAAUGAUGGUGUUUAAAUGCAAACAACAAAAGGAAGACAUCUUGGUAGAGCAGAAGUGAUGCACAUUGGGUGCCCCAAUGGAGAAGCUAGAGAAAGCACCCAAGGAGCUGAAGGGGUCUACAACCCUAUAGGUGGAACAACAAUAUGAACUAACCAGUACCCUCAGAGCUCGUGUCUCUAGCUGCAUAUGUAUCAGAAGAUGGCCUAGUCAGCCAUCAUUGGGAAAACAGGCCCCUUGGUAUUGCAAACUUUAUAUGCCUCAGUACAGGGUAAUGCCAG